CACGUAGGAGGCGAGCGUUGUCCGGAAUCAUUGGGCGUAAAGAGCGCGCAGGCGGCUUGGCAAGUCGGGUGUGAAAUCCCGGGGCUCAACCCCGGGACUGCAUUCGAUACUGUCAGGCUAGAGGUAGGUAGGGGAGAUCGGAAUUCCUGGCGUAGCGGUGAAAUGCGCAGAUAUCAGGAGGAACACCGGUGGCGAAGGCGGAUCUCUGGGCCUUACCUGGCGCUCAGGCGCGAAAGCUAGGGGAGCGAACAGG
rnacentral:rRNA from 1 species